GCGACUUCACAGUGCCUUCUGCCUGGGCUUCUCCGCAGCCCUUCCAGCUUCCUGUGGAGUUAUUCUUAAGAAAAUACAUUGCAAGCCUUAAGGAGUAACUGUGCAAGCAGCUGAAACGAGCCAGCCCCUGCCCCUCAGUCCGCCCUCCAGACAGCCAAAGCCAGACUCGACCGAACAGCGGUGUGGAAGGAUGGGAACGGCAAACUGACAGAACAGCAUAAAAGUGGUCUUCGAUCGGAAACACCACUGGGAUACUAGCAGAAGCAAAAGCACAUCUCUAAGAGAGAGCAUACCCUUAAACAAAACCCCUCAAAGCCGCGUGGGCAUCCCAUCAUAAACAUCAACUUGAGAGAACACAUGAGGUGCCCGGAUGGAUAUUCAUCUCUGCUGGAAUUGAAUCUUGAGGUAAACCCAGCAACUACACAUCUCAAAGUUGUAUGAGUUCAUAUGACUGGCUCCCUUGUGGAGAAGCAGCAGAACGAACUGUAAGAAAGUUUAAUGAACUGUAAGAAAGUUUACCACUAAGCGAGGUAAUUACAGAAUAUUUUAGAAUCCACUGCUUGCUUUUUGUUUACAUAGUAUGUGAAGAGGCACCACUGCCACUUCAACCUUAGCACCCAGCCCAUCUCUGCCACACCCUCCAGUGAAGACGCAGCACCAUGCCAUUCCGGACCAUUGGAAAAUGGAGUGAGGAGAUUAGCCUGCCUGAUCAGAUUUCUAGUAGGACUUUGAGACUGGGCAACUCUCCAUGCUCUUCCAUGAGCUGUGCUGUCUUCCAGGAGCUGUCAUGUUUCUCACCUUUUAUCCAACAUUUCAAUUUUCCUUCAUUGCAAUUACAAGAGUGGGAAAUUCCUUAGCAUUCCAUCUUUUGUCAUUACCUCUUGAUGAAGUUUCUUCCUCUGAAAAAAUGGUAUUGAUGUUUAUCUCGUGAUGCAAAUGUGAGAAUCAAGUAAAACAUAUUUUCAAACAGAGUAAUUUUUAGCUUAUGUAAUAAUUCUUUAAAUCUGUGCUGUAAUUGCAUACUUACUGGCUUUAUCCUUGCUGAGGGAUAGAGGACUACCUCUUCAUUUCUGUCUCCUUUAACACCUAGCACAGUGUCAUACUUGCAUUAGAACUAUUUUCACUCAUUCGAAAAUUAUUUGUUGAAGAUCUCGGAUGCACCACUCUCUUGGGUUCUGUGUUUAACUGUAAUAAACAAUCAAUUCCUGCUUUGCUUGAUGAAAAUUUGUUAAAUUGACCUUUUCAGGUGUACUGACCAUGUAUUCAGCUUACAGACAAGACUGUAAAAUGUACCUUAUUCACCUCCAGCAGUGCCAGGAAGUGUACCUGGGCAAAUGACAUACCCAGCUAGCCUGAACCUUCUGAUCGAAUGGGGACAGAGAUACAUUAGAUGGCACCUGAGAUGGUGCGAGGGGCAUGGUCUCUACUGAAUGUGCCAACAUCCCAUUGAACACAUGUUCAUGUGGUCCUCAUAGAUGGGUAUUUUCUUUAAAAUACCAUUAGUGUGUGAACCUCUAAGGGUAGUAUUUGUGUAUUUUUUACCUUUGCAUUACCCUCUGCCUUCGGAAAUAGUUCAAUGUCUGAAUUUAGGAGGUGCUCAAUAGAGUAAUUAUAUAUAGAAUGAAAUAGUGGAGAGAGGGUAUAUUUUUUAAACAGCAAAACUUUUUAACUGGUUACUAUAACAAAUAUUUCAAAAAUAUAGCCAUUGAUUGUUUUGUUAUUCAUUGGGCAGAUACUGAGUGAAUGCCUAAGAGGUACUGUUCUUAACCAUGCUAAGUGUUAUCAUGGAUAAUACUAUGCUAUCUCACUGAUACAUACUACAUUGGAAUGUAUUAUUCUGUUUUUCUCUUUUCUGGGGUUUCUAAGACAUCUAGAGGCAAAUAAAUGGGGAACAGGUUCUGUGAAGGUCAACCAAAUUACGGGAAAGAUUCACUUUCAGUGUUCAUUAUCACUAGCCAAAAAGUUGUAUUUGGUUUAGUUUAUUAAAUUCAUACCUAUGGA